rnacentral:rRNA from 1 species
UACAGAGGGGGCUAGCGUUAUUCGGAAUUAUUGGGCGUAAAGGGCGCGUAGGCGGCCAUGCGUGUCUUCCGUGAAAUCCCUCGGCUUAACUGAGGACGUGCGGAAGAAACUGCAAGGCUCGAGUCCGGGAGAGGGGGGUGGAAUUCCCAGUGUAGCGGUGAAAUGCGUAGAUAUUGGGAGGAACACCGGUGGCGAAGGCGGCAUCCUGGACCGGCAUUGACGCUGAGGCGCGAAAGCCAGGGGAGCAAACGGG